CCUACGGGUGGCAGCAGUCGAGAAUCAUUCACAAUGGGGGAAACCCUGAUGGUGCGACGCCGCGUGGGGGAAUGAAGGUCUUCGGAUUGUAAACCCCUGUCAUGUGGGAGCAAAUUAAAAAGAUAGUACCACAAGAGGAAGAGACGGCUAACUCUGUGCCAGCAGCCGCGGUAAUACAGAGGUCUCAAGCGUUGUUCGGAAUCACUGGGCGUAAGGCGUGCGUAGGCUGUUUCGUAAGUCGUGUGUGAAAGGCGCGGGCUCAACCCGCGGACGGCACAUGAUACUGCGAGACUAGAGUAAUGGAGGGGGAACCGGAAUUCUCGGUGUAGCAGUGAAAUGCGUAGAUAUCGAGAGGAACACUCGUGGCGAAGGCGGGUUCCUGGACAGUAACUGACGCUGAGGCACGAAGGCCAGGGGAGCGAAAGGGAUUAGAUACCCGGGUAGUC
rnacentral:rRNA from 1 species